rnacentral:rRNA from 1 species
CCUACGGGAGGCAGCAGUGGGGAAUUUUGGACAAUGGGCGAAAGCCUGAUCCAGCCAUGCCGCGUGCAGGAUGAAGGCCUUCGGGUUGUAAACUGCUUUUGUACGGAACGAAACGGUCUCUUCUAAUAAAGGGGGCUAAUGACGGUACCGUAAGAAUAAGCACCGGCUAACUACGUGCCAGCAGCCGCGGUAAUACGUAGGGUGCAAGCGUUAAUCGGAAUUACUGGGCGUAAAGCGUGCGCAGGCGGUUAUAUAAGACAGUUGUGAAAUCCCCGGGCUCAACCUGGGAACUGCAUCUGUGACUGUAUAGCUAGAGUACGGUAGAGGGGGAUGGAAUUCCGCGUGUAGCAGUGAAAUGCGUAGAUAUGCGGAGGAACACCGAUGGCGAAGGCAAUCCCCUGGACCUGUACUGACGCUCAUGCACGAAAGCGUGGGGAGCAAACAGGAUUAGAUACCCUGGUAGUCCACGCCCUAAACGAUGUCAACUGGUUGUUGGGUCUUCACUGACUCAGUAACGAAGCUAACGCGUGAAGUUGACCGCCUGGGGAGUACGGCCGCAAGGUUGAAACUUAAAGGAAUUGACGG